GGUUAGGGCUCAUUUGCAUGUUAAGCUAGGUACUCUGGAUUGUUGUGGAAAGAAGGACCACUCAAUGUACAGUUGAGAUAUGCAGGUGAUAACUAAUUUUGUAUAACCUGUAGCACUGAAUUCCUCCAGCUAUCCAAUACUGGAGUUACAUCUAGUGGCCAUUUAUGAGAAUGGUUCAAUCUUCAUUCAUAGUUGUUCCUCACAUAAUUUAGUUAUCACCUUUG